UAUCUACAGGCUUAACACAUGCAAGUCGAGGGGCAUCAGGAAGAAAGCUUGCUUUCUUUGCUGGCGACCGGCGCACGGGUGAGUAACACGUAUCCAACCUGCCCUUUACUCGGGGAUAGCCUUUCGAAAGAAAGAUUAAUACCCGAUGGCAUAAUGAUUCCGCAUGGUUUCAUUAUUAAAGGAUUCCGGUAAAGGAUGGGGAUGCGUUCUAUUAGGUUGUUGGUGAGGUAACGGCUCACCAAGCCUUCGAUGGAUAGGGGUUCUGAGAGGAAGGUCCCCCACAUUGGAACUGAGACACGGUCCAAACUCCUACGGGAGGCAGCAGUGAGGAAUAUUGGUCAAUGGGCGCUAGCCUGAACCAGCCAAGUAGCGUGAAGGAUGAAGGCUCUAUGGGUCGUAAACUUCUUUUAUAUAAGAAUAAAGUGCAGUAUGUAUACUGUUUUGUAUGUAUUAUAUGAAUAAGGAUCGGCUAACUCCGUGCCAGCAGCCGCGGUAAUACGGAGGAUCCGAGCGUUAUCCGGAUUUAUUGGGUUUAAAGGGAGCGUAGGUGGACUGGUAAGUCAGUUGUGAAAGUUUGCGGCUCAACCGUAAAAUUGCAGUUGAUACUGUCAGUCUUGAGUACAGUAGAGGUGGGCGGAAUUCGUGGUGUAGCGGUGAAAUGCUUAGAUAUCACGAAGAACUCCGAUUGCGAAGGCAGCUCACUGGACUGCAACUGACACUGAUGCUCGAAAGUGUGGGUAUCAAACAGGAUUAGAUACCCUGGUAGUCCACACAGUAAACGAUGAAUACUCGCUGUUUGCGAUAUACAGUAAGCGGCCAAGCGAAAGCAUUAAGUAUUCCACCUGGGGAGUACGCCGGCAACGGUGAAACUCAAAGGAAUUGACGGGGGCCCGCACAAGCGGAGGAACAUGUGGUUUAAUUCGAUGAUACGCGAGGAACCUUACCCGGGCUUAAAUUGCAGUGGGAUGAUGUGGAAACAUGUCAGUGAGCAAUCACCGCUGUGAAGGUGCUGCAUGGUUGUCGUCAGCUCGUGCCGUGAGGUGUCGGCUUAAGUGCCAUAACGAGCGCAACCCUUAUCUUUAGUUACUAACAGGUUAUGCUGAGGACUCUAGAGAGACUGCCGUCGUAAGAUGUGAGGAAGGUGGGGAUGACGUCAAAUCAGCACGGCCCUUACGUCCGGGGCUACACACGUGUUACAAUGGGGGGUACAGAAGGCAGCUAGCGGGUGACCGUAUGCUAAUCCCAAAAGCCUCUCUCAGUUCGGAUCGAAGUCUGCAACCCGACUUCGUGAAGCUGGAUUCGCUAGUAAUCGCGCAUCAGCCACGGCGCGGUGAAUACGUUCCCGGGCCUUGUACACACCGCCCGUCAAGCCAUGGGAGCCGGGGGUACCUGAAGUACGUAACCGCAAGGAUCGUCCUAGGGUAAAACUGGUGACUGGGG
rnacentral:rRNA from 1 species